CAACUUCUGGGCAAGGCAGAGGUGGGUUUGGCUUUUUAAAAUUUUUUUCAGCCUGUCCUCAUGGAACUACAUAUUCUUUUCUAAGAACUUUUCAUCCUAACCUCCCUACUCACAUCUUCUAACUGUCUCUGCUCUGGUGGGAAUGUGAUGGACAACACAGAGCCAUCUCAGAAGCCUCUGUGGCCACCACCAGGCCGGCCAGGGUGCAGGGGGCCACUCCCUGGGCAGCCAUAGGGUUCUCAGCAAGGUGCAUUCGUCGUCCCUGCUGAGAAUCUGAUGGGGCAGCAUUUUUUUUUUUUAAUUAAAUGCAAGCUGAGUCAUUUCAACCUGCAACCUUCAGGUAACAGGAGUUACCCAAGCUCCAGGAAUUAUGAUUGUGGGGUAAACCCAUUCUCUUGUUUUCUUGCAGUUCUAUUUUAUAACGCACUAGAGGAGACAGAGACGUCAUUGCUUCACCCAGGGCAAGAGGACAAAGGAGGAUGCAUGGAAAUACAAACAGCCCUUCUCCUCCAGGCCAUACCGACUGUCCAGCUAGCAAGAGACUUCACCUGGUUUUGGAGCAAUCUGAAUUUGGAAUAUGCCAGAGAAAACUUCUAUCAGGCAAGAUGGAAGACUCCUAGGAUAGGUCCCUCUCAUGGAGGGGUUGGCACGAUGGUAAGAGUCCAGUGGAUGGAAAAGGGCUCCUCCUUAAAGAUGGUGAUGGAAACGAGCACUGCACAGGGAAACACAAAUCAGGUCCCCUGAAAUCCAGCCCAACCUGGCUAGACCCUCCAGUGCCCAUCAGGGCUUAAGAACAGGUUGCUUCCGUGUCUUUGUUAGGGGGUGGUUAAAAAGGAGUAUGUGCUUAUAGAGUAUGCUGCUGAGCUCCAUGAUUUUGACUUCAUGUCUAACCUGUUGAUGCUACAAAACUCUUUCAAAAACAGUUACCAUGGGAACUUUUCCCUAGCAAGCAUUCUUCAAGAAACGUUACAGGUGCUGGUGAAUUCAAUGCCCUUGGUGUCAAUAAGCUUUUGCUGAGUCUUAGAAUGUGUGGCUUGAACUGAGAGGACUUUCAAACAGAUAAUGCAAAGUUUCCAAUGCAAAUGUCUUCGGGGUUAAGUGUCAGUGAAACGCAGUGGAAGGUAGGGGGGAUAAAAUGAUCUCAGUGUAUAUGGAGGCCCCACUUAAGCAUUCAAAAAACUCUAUAUACAGUGUUUUCAAUGUAUUAUGUAUCAGCAAAACAAAAUACCCCAUAGUGCUAUAAUCAGCUCAGGGGGUCACCUCAGCAAGAGAUGCUCUGGUUAUCACUCCUACUACGGGAUUUCCUCUCUCAUCAGAACCAGUAGGUGGUCAAAACCACAAUAAUGCAUAAAUGAAGGCAGGGAAUUGGGUAUCCAAUGUGAGCAACUGAAAAGGUGCCAUGUAUUAGCUAUUUGCCAUUAUGGUACUGCAAGUGCUCAGAUGACUCACAAAAUGACCAGAACAAAA
rnacentral:lncRNA from 1 species